GACGAACCGUACAAACGUUAUUCGGAAUCACUGGGCUUAAAGGGUGCGUAGGCGGCGCUGAAAGUUGGGUGUGAAAUCCCUCGGCUCAACCGAGGAACUGCGCUCAAAACUACAGUGCUUGAGGGAGAUAGAGGUGAGCGGAACUUAGGGUGGAGCGGUGAAAUGCGUUGAUAUCCUAAGGAACGCCAGGGGCGAAAGCGGCUCACUGGGUCUCUUCUGACGCUGAGGCACGAAAGCUAGGGUAGCGAACGGG
rnacentral:rRNA from 1 species